CGCACGGGUGAGUAACGCGUAGGUAAUCUACCCUUAUAACUGGGAUAACAUUGGGAAACUGGUGCUAAUACCGGAUACACUUCUUUACUGCGGGGUAAAGGAGGAAAGGUGGCCUCUUCAUGAAAGCUACCGUAUAGGGAUGAGCCUGCGUACCAUUAGCUAGUAGGCGGGGUAACGGCCCACCUAGGCAACGAUGGUUAGCGGGUCUGAGAGGAUGAUCCGCCACACUGGAACUGGAUCACGGCCCAG
rnacentral:rRNA from 1 species